rnacentral:sRNA from 1 species
UCUUCUGAAUUGGUUUUCUUCAUUCUGUCCUAUUAGAUGAUUACCGAGCACUAAUCUAGAGAUGUCUUCACUGUCAAAGAUGUGGAAAUUAGUGUACUUUCAUGAUUUCAUCCCAAAGAGGAAGUUAUUGAAGAGAAGAACAAGUGUUCCUUCAGUAGGGCUGCCUUCCUAAAGGAUCUAAGAAGGAGUUUUAAAGCACCAGCAGCGGGGUUCCUUCGGCAGAAAGCCUUGAUUGAGAUGCUAAAGGCAAUGAGAACUAAGUGGAGCCGCUAAUUAGACACUUUGACUGAGCAGAGUGGGGAAAGCGAGCCCCAUGGAACAGCAGGCAUGGCCUAUGUGCCCGAUAUCUGACAACCCACAUUUUCAGGCUGCAGAGAAAGAAGAAAAUGUUCACCAUUUUAGAGUGGCUGAUAAGAAACGGGGACAGAAGCUACACCCUCCAGAUGACCAUUUCUGAUGAGCAGGAGUCUCACUUAUUAACGGAGUAAGGAUUGAUCAGGAGACAUGAAUUCUUAACAAGCAUCCUUAGACUUUUUCGAGAGGCAACUCUAACCAAGCUGAGAAUCGUCGGCGAGUAUUUUUAGGCACAAGGAUGCAUGAUUAAGAUCAAAGCCCUGCACUUGAUGACUUUCAGAGUUUGUUAAGCACCGUAACACGGGGCUGAAAUUCAAUUUGAACCACUCGUCAGCUUGUCUUUCACUCUCCCCUUUGGGUAGAGUGUGAUUUUAAUACCAGAGUUGGCUCUGGCAUUAUUAUAUUUUGAUACAACAGAAUAAAUUAUCACAUCUCCAGCUCGACAAAAACAAGUUGCAUUUCCAAAAUGUUUUGUCCUCACUACUAACAGUUCUCUGCAGCAGAGACUCGAGAUUUUUGAGAAAAAGCUGUGAAUAUAAACAACUUGGGUUGGGAUCACAGAAAAAUCCCUUCUCUCUCACCAAGUCAUUUAGAAAGGAACACGCGGCCUUUAUUUCAUAAUCAAACACACAUUUAGUGUUCACUAAUGGUGACAUGUGCACCAUCAAGGGAGGUAGGAAGGUGUGGCUACUCCAAUUAGGUUACAGACUUUGUGGCCUUGGACAUACGAUUCCUCUUAGUCUCCGUUUCUCCUUUGUAAUCAGAUGCUACUGUGCCAGCUUUGAUGAAAACAAACCAAUUAUUCUUUUGUUCUGUUCUUUUAUUAAUCAAACACAUUUGGCUUUUGGAUAUCUCUGAAAGAAAUGCUAGUUUUCCUAAAAGGACCUUUACCUGUGACCAUUAGCUCCAUAACCAUUAGCCAAGAACUAGUAGUUCUUUGUAAAUCUAUAUCAAGCUCUUCAAUAUGCCUCAAUUUUAUUUUUUGGGCAAAGACUGUAACUAAUCCAAGGAGCCAUGGGACCCCAGAGUCUCAUAAAAAGGACACAUUAGGAUGAACUGAGGUCUUCAUCUGCAGGACAACAGCCAUCAAGGCUCCUCACUGACUGUAAGCUACAUUCUGAUCUAGUGAUGCAACCAUGACAGGCGGUUCUAUAACAUACAUGACCGGCUCUGUA